rnacentral:rRNA from 1 species
UAGCGUAGGGGCCGAGCGUUGUCCGGGAGUUAACUGGGCGUAAAGCGCGCGGCAGGCGGCCACUUAAGCCCGGCGUGAAAGCCCCCGGCUCAACCGGGGAGGGUCGUCGGGGACUGGGUGGCUUGAGGACGGCAGGGGCUGGUGGAAUCCCGGUGUAGUGGUGAAAUGCGUAGAUAUGCGGAGGAACACCGAUGGCGGAAGGCAAUCCCCUGGACCUGUACUGACGCUCAUGCACGAA